CCCCCUUGGUAAUCCAAGAUAAUCUUCCUAUUUUAAGGUCGGUAAUCUCAAUCACAUCCACACUGAGACAUCUCUUUGCCAUGUAAAGUAACAUAUUCACAAGUUUGCAGAGAUUGGGGCUUGGAACUCUUUGGGGGACAUUAUUCUACCUACAACAGCUAGGCUUUUUUGUUUGUUUGUUUUGUUUUUUUCAUAUUUUUCUUCCUUAAUCCACACAAGAGCCUCGUAAAGGAAGCAUUGUUAUACCCAUCAUAUGUGUAUACAAGCUGGAGUUCAGCGAGGUUCCUAUUACCGCUGAUAAAUGGGGAAUCUGGGGUUUGAAUCCUGCUUCAGAGCUCACAUUCCUUCCUCUGCCAGAGAGGGAGGGGUGGAAGCAAAGCCAUCGUGUGACCCGCCACUCUCAUUGCAUUUCCCACCAUUGGUUGCGCUAGAGCUGCUUCUCAAUUUAGCAAGGUUGUCACUGUGUCCAUCAAAGAUGUCUAACUCUCCUCCUGGGUACAUGGCGUGUGUGUCUGCUGGGUCUCAGCAGGAAACAGAUGGCACACUCAAGUGAAGUUAUUGAGGAGAGAUUAGUAAAAGGACUGUCUGCAAGGUUGUGAGUGGGGCAAUGGGAAACCAACAAGGGAUGGUGGAGCACGUUGGCUAAGAACAGCUGUUGCACCCCGUUCCUAGAGGAGUACAGGGAAGAAGUGUUACCAGAACCCCAAGAGAAAGGAGAAACUAAAGGAGGGGCUGCCUGGCUGGAGCUGUGGCCAUCAAUAGUGGAACACCGCUACAACCAGCCUGGCAGGGAGGUAGGUGGCAAAGUACAUGACUUCACUCUUUUCCCUCCCUCUGAACCCCCUCUAUUGGCAAAUCUUAACCAGAAGCCAGAGGAAAGGGGAGUCUGUUUAUACAAUUCUUGAAUUUUAACUUUCCAGGCUCAGAGCAGAGUAUAGGAAAGUAGAGAGUGGAUCUGAGAGAGAUUAUCCAGCACUGUCAGACUGUCCUUCCCCAUGCCAUUGAAAUCAGGUAUGGCAAUGGGACUUGUUUGGGCCAGUGUGUUCGUUUCCUGGGGAGAGCAUAGCAAAUUACCGUAAACAGGAGGCUUAAGACAAGAGAAGUUCAUUCUCUCACUAUUCUGAGGGCCAUGCUCGCUCCGAAGGCACCUGAGAAGAAUCCUUCCUUCCUAGCCUGGCAGCCCUUGGCAUUACUAAACUUGAGCAGUAUCACACCAGUCUCUGCCACUGUCUUCACAGGGUCUUCUCUGUCUGUGUGUGCUUGCCUCUUCUUAAAAGGACAUCCAUCAUUAGAUUUAGGGGCCAAUGUAGGUAUCAUCUUGAGAUUCUUUGCUACAUAUACCUGCAAAGACCCUAUUUCCAAAUAAAGAUCAUGUUCUGAAGUUUGGGGUGGGCAUGAAUUUGUAGAGGGGGUAGGGUGGAUAACAUUCAACUCCCGAUAACCAUGUACAUCUGGACCAAAGUUUCUAGGCCUAGCAUGCAAUUUUUUCUUUUUUUCUUUCCCUCUGCCAUGGCAAUCAGCAAUGCUCAGACAGCAGCUGCCCCCUCAGCCUAGGUCCUGGAGUGAAGAUAAGGCAGAGCAGAGCCCCGGCUGACCUUCGAAGGAAACAUAAUUUAAACAGAAGUAAAUGCCUCAUCCCUCCUGAAGGAUACAAUGUACGGUAGUUAAUGACCACAGCCCAUCCCUUCAAAGAUAUUGCCAGCAGCCCCUUAACUCCCUACUUCCUUAUUUUCACACAAACACCUUCGAAUUGACCAAAAGCUCUCUACAGUCUCAUUGCUUCUUUUCAUCCCAGCUCCAUUGGCAACAUUUUACUGCACCGUAAUUCCUCUUUGGGGCCAAUGUAUAGAAAGAAAUAGAUCUCCAAAGAGUGCCUUUUGUAUCCUUGGAGGGACAAGUUUUGUAGGAAAAGAAAAUGAAGGCUUGAGCACAUGGGUGUUCCCUGAAAUGAGCUGCAGAGUAGCUGUCUGCCUUUCAGACUGACAAUUUCAAAUGAAUCCUCCACCAGAAGCAGCCAGGAAUGUCUGCUGAGAAAACGGUUUUCUGCCCACACAGGGCUCUCUAGGUACACCCUUCCCUGCCCUGCUGUGACCACGUGUGCAAAACCGCUUGAGAAACUGUGCCUCAUGAUGUUUGUUUAUUGAUGCUACUACAUGAGCUCUCUGAGCCCUUCUGCCAAUCUUCUUUUCUCUAAUACUGAUCUCAUUGCUGUGGGUGUGGGCCAAUGGACUCAGACUCUCUUUAGCGGGGAUUUAAAAGUGAAAUGGAUAAACCAUGUUUGAACUGUGAGACGACAGACAGACGUGUCUGGAAUCAUGAGAAAGGCUGCCUGAUUCCAGGCGCCAUCCCCCUCACUGAUCUAUCUUGAACAGCCCCUGGGGUUUGACCGCUCCCACAUGCCAACUCCUGCUGCAGAAGCUGCAUCUUCCCUCAUCUCUUCCCCAGCCACAGGGCCUGGGAACCACAAUGGUGGCAGGAAAGAAAAAAGUUAGACUCACACUGAGCUUAAAGGGGUGGUUCUCAAAGGGUGCUACUUGAGUUUACAGCACCUGCAGCACCCGGAAACUUGGAAAUGCAAAUUCUUGGGUCCAGCCCUAAACCUACUGCAGGAGACACAUUGGAGUGUGGCCCAGCUAUCUGUGUUUUAUUGAGUUUUCCAGGUGAUUCUGGGGCAUGCUAAAGUUUGAGAGCCACUGGCUUAGUGUCUGACCUCAGAAGACAAGUGGCCUGCUGGGACAUGAUUUAUCUUGGUAAAAGUAUCGUCAGUUCCUCUGUCCCCUUUGCUUGGUCGGGAGGGAUCCACCUGUAGUAGAGUGGAGAAUCCCUGUGAACCCAAGUUGCAUCCUGGCCUCCUGGGUGUUUUGUGUUAGCUGCAGGUCACAGGUGCUAGUCGGGGCUGUGCAGCACCCAGGAGACAGAAGCAAGUCAGCUGCAAGUGAAGCCUCUCAUGUGGACAGCAGGGUCUCUCACAUCUCCUGUUAAAGCAGCACAUGUUCUACCUUUGUUCAGAUAGAAGCCAAUGUGUACUUCAAAGUGGCUUGAGGAUCUCUUUACUUCUAUAUUCGAGAAUGAAGGAAAUGAAACUAGGGGAUCCCCUGGAGGAAUGACAGAUCAAUAACCAUUUCACCAGGUGGCAAAUUCAGUGGGUCCUACGUGGCAGUGUGUGGAGUGGGGGAGAAAUGAGUCAUAUUCUAUCGUAAUUCCAAAGAAAAUGGUACGUUCAUUUGUGAUGGCCACCUGGUCAAGACCACCUGGAGCUGUUCCUGGUACACUAAGGUAAAGAGCUCAUCCUAACCUGUCCUGUCUUUGAAAGGUAAGCAGAUUCUCUACGCAGGGCUUACAUAAGUGCUGCAUUCCCUGGAGACAGAACAAGGCUCUUGCUAGGCAGAUCAGUCAGACCUAACCGAUAAAUCCUUGGUAGUUUGGAUGAUUCUCUUAAUUUUGUCUGAUAGUACUGAAUUGCCUGAGAAAGUCCACUGGUUUCUUGCACAGCACAGUCUGAGAAUCGAGAUUAUUUUUUGUCUUUUUAAAGUGAAAAAGUUGUGCUUCUUAAUCUUUUUCUCCUCCCCACCUUCAGAGCUCUCACUGUGUUUUGGAGUAUGGUAAGUAUGGCCCCAGAAGGCCAGUAGAAUCCUGUGAUUUGUGCUCUGAUAAACCGCAUCCUGCCUGCCUUUUGGGGAUCUGUUAGUCCAUUUUCACACGGCUACAAAGACAUACCCAAGACUGGGUAAUUUAUAAAGAAAAGAGGUUUAAUUAACUCACAGUUCUGCAUGGCUGGGGAGGCCUCAGGAAACUUAACAUCAUGGCAGAAAGGGAAGAGGCACAUCUAACAUGGCAAGAGAGAGAAUGGUGAGUAGCAAAGAGGGAAGAGCCUCUUAUAAAACUAUCAAAUCUUGUGAGAACAAACUCACUAUCAUGAGAACAUCAUGUGGGAACCACCCGCAUGGCCAAAUCACCUCCCACCAGGUUUCUCCUUAGACGUGGGAAUUAUGGGGCUUACGGUUCAGGAUCAGAUCUGGGUGGGACACAGCCAAACUGUAUCAGGGUCUGCUCCUUAUGCCUAUCUGGAUUCCUUUUUCUUCCAAGAAGUGCUUUGUACUAGUGGCACUGUAAGCUAGACAAAAAGGUAUCAAAGUGCCAAGGGAAAGAAUUCAUAGUAUAUAUGUAGUGAACAUAAGUGACGUAAGUGACAGCCUUUUUCCAUGGAAGUUAAGGUGUUCCCAGUGUCCCUAAUUGGCCCCUGCAUAUGUGUGUGCAUGCACAUUCCGAGGGGGACAUACCCAUGGCUGCACCCACCCUGCAGAGACAGAGUAGACAGCUGUCCAUGGGCUGUGAUUGGAUUUUACUUCAGGGACCUCUUGAUGACUACCCCAGCUGGUCCAGGCCAAGUGCCUGCUGGAAAUUCCCAUAUCACUUACCUCUUUGGAGUUAGGCAUUGAAAGGUGUUUAAAUAUUUUCCAUGAGGUAGAGACAUUAUUAUUUAUUACUAUUUGGGCUUUAAUGAGUCUAUCAACUUAGAAGAGAAUGUGCCAGGCUUCCUCUUCUGGUAAUAAUGACGGGUGGAAGAGGAAACAGUAAGUUCUGAAAUGUUGUAGAAACGAAAACCACAGACUCAAGGAAUAGGAUGAGGACCCUGGUGAUGUGGUAAGAUAUGAAAUGAAAAAAGGGAAGUGGGAAAAUGGAAGAUAAAAUACCUCCAUAAGUCCACAGGUCAUUUCACAAGUUGUUUCUGCCUGUGGUUCCUAGUGACUGCCAUAGGCAAACUGUCUGUGGAUAUCCUCGCUCAGACACUGCUACGUUCUGCUACAGCACUGUUGCUUCAAAGGAUGUAUUCAUUUAUUAAAUACCUGGAGCACGCCUAUACACUGUGGGUAUAUCAGGAAAACAAAACCUCAUUUAUUGUGUCUACUGGCUCUCCUCAUCUCCCCACUAAAAUGCAAGCUCCCUCAUGAGGAAAAUGUGGUAUGUUAAGUGGUGUUAGAUGCUAUGGAGAGAAGUAAGGCAGUGAGUGUGAUGCUGUUUUAAAUAAGGUGGUCAGAGAAAGCUCACUAAAAGAGAGUAUUUGAGUGUAAAGGGAGUAAAGGGUGAGCAAGCCAGGCAGAUGUCAAUGUAGAGAUCAUUUCAGGCGGAGGGAAAGGUCCAUACAAGGCCGGGCAACCGGAGCAUGCCUGGCUUACAGAGGAAGAUCAAGGGGUGGGGGAGUGGCCAGCGUGGCCAGACCAAAGUGAGAAACAGGAGAACAGCGCAGAUGAGAUCAGACAGGUCAUGGGGUGGGGAGGGGGGGAAGGCGGGGAUGGAAUUUAAUAGGUUAUUCCAGGGGUUAGCAAACAUUUUCUGUAAAGGGCAAAAGGUGGUAAAUAUUUGUUCAGUUCCUAAGGUCUAUGUUUCAACUCCGUGACUUUGUCAUUAUACCAUGAAAGAGCCACAGAUAAGGUAAAUUAAUGAGUUGGGCUGUUUCAAUACAACUUUAUUUACCAAAGCAGUUUACAGGACAGAUUUUGCCCAUGCUGACCCUUAGGCUAUUGCAAUAAUCUGGAGCAGAGAUGAAGGUAUCUUGGAUCAGAAUUGUAACAGUAGCGGGAGCAAGAAGGGGUCAGAUAUUGGCUAUGUUUUGAAGGUAGAGCCAGCAGGAUUUGCUGUCAGACCAAAUACUCCACAGUUUUUGGUCUGAGCAACUGGAGUCAGACUGCUGAAAUGAGGAAAACCGACAGAGGAGGUAGGUAGGAGGAGGGGCAUAAGGAAUCCAUCUGGGACAUGAAAAUUUGAGAUUCCUUUAGGAUAAAGGAAUUGGAUUCAAUGUUCCUUAACUCCUCUUCUAGCUCUCAUAUUCCAUGACUCUGCAACUGUGAGAGAAUGACGUCUACCCCAGUGGCUUCUGCUGUGAUCGUGUUCUUCAGGGAGACCUUCCACACUGUGUUACUCCAUCCUCCCAAAUGCAAGUGGUGAUUAUGUUGGCUAGAGAUAAGUUGCUGGAAGGAAGAAAUACUGAAAGGGAGGCAACUGCCAGCUGCAACUAGCAGGGGGACUCGGAAGAGUGUCAUAAACGGUAUAUGUGCCGGAGGAGGCUUUGAGGGCUGGAGGCAAAUCCCUGUGUCUCUUAGUUUCCGGGAGGUUGCUAAUAAUGGAGUGUUGUCAGCAGAACGGGUUAAUGUUUAACAGGUUUUCAGAGAAAAGCAAUGCCGCUUCUUAAACUUCACAUCCACUCCAUGCUCAAAAUGGCCACACUUCAGAUGUGCUCACCCUCCAUAGAGGUGCUUUGGAGCCCUACACAGAUUCUGAUGGACUCUAUACGCCUGUAGGACACAGCCAUGGUCUUUGUCACUAGCUUCUCCGGGCAAUUUCCUCUGUCUUUGCUCUCAUCUCUCAUCGCUGGGAUAUAUGUCUUCUGUCUGCCCAAAUUCGUCCCACUCAAAAGGUGGCUCUGUGCCAGUGGGAUUGUUUGCUAUAUGGAGAGCCUGCAAACCACUUUGGGAGUGAGCUGAUAGCAAUAUAUUUAAAAUAUGAGCAUUUAUCAGAAGCAGCAGAUGGAGGCAGCAGAGUGGAGCUCCCAGAACUGAGGGCAGGGAGUGUUUCAUUCAACUGUAAAGGCGCACCAUCUAGACUCAGCUGGCACCAGCUCAUGAAACCAGUGAAGAGAAGGAGGGAAAAAAAGGCCACCUUUGUGCUAGGUUCGGAAGGUCACAGCGUUCCCUGACCUUGAGUCCUCGGUGCCUCAAAGACAGCAUUCACUCUACGACUAGAAAAAACAAAAACCUUCCCCGUUGCUCUCUUUAAUAUUUUUUAACUUCCUUAAAGCUUAGUAAAUUGAAGAAAAAUUCUGAAGCUCAGAACAAAUGGAAAAAUAAGCCAUUUCAUCUACGUAUGCAUGCAUUAAUUCAUUCAACAAAUGUUUGUUACAUGGAUCAGGCAUGGCAGAAUCUAUGGAAUACUCUGGAGCAGAGAACAAUGAGGCAGAAAGAUAUGUUAUUGUAAUUAUUAAAGAUUAAACAUGUUGAAAGUAUUUUAAUUUUCAUUUUUUACCACCAUCUCCUAACCCACCCCUAAAAGUAAAAAUAUAUUUACAGCCUUUUCUACUUACUAUUUGAACUAAAAGAAGCAUAUGUUUUAGUGGUAAUUUCCUCAGGAUACAAGUAGCAAACUCAAUGCAUUAGUGGGAAAAGGACAACAAGAUUAAUUUCAAAUCACCUGUUUAAGAAGAAUACUGUGAUGGUGGCAUCCAUUUGCAAAAGUCAGAUUUAACACCUGAUAUGAGGUCUGCAAAAAGGGCCCCAAGUCACCCCACAGAGGGCUUAUACAUUACACCUAUAACAACAAACCUUUGGGGAAAUGCCUGCCUUCAGUUAUUUUUGAGAGACUUUGAAAAGUGACGUUAGUGAAUAAAUCACAUAUUUCUUCAUAUUGCCUUUAUAUGAGAGUUUCAAAAUAUGAAUCUUUGUGCCAUUAUAUAUGGAAGGUGUGGAUCUUUGGAACUGUGUAGAGCUGUUUUCUGAAAAAUUCUCCCCAAAUCCCCUGGUCAGAAUUAAUCACUCCUUCCCUUGGUUCCACCAGGGAGGUAUAAAGUCACAUUUAACGAUACCAAGUAAUGUAUGCAGCUGUUUCUCAUGAUGCAUUGUGAAUUUGCCGAAAGAAUCUGUAGCUCAGUACCUGGCACACAAUUGACACUUGAGUAUGUUAAAUACAAGAGCAGAGAUUGCAGAAAUUGUUGAAGUUAUAAUGAAGAAAAAAAAAAGGUUACCAAAUGUCCAUUUUUAUCAUACUAUCUUCGGGGUAAAAUAGAUAUAUUGGAAACCUUCCACUUUAAUGGAUGACCAUAGCUUAUCUACAUGCUCUCACAGUUGUUUUUAAUUUUUAAAGUCAUUUAUUCCACAAUUUUUGUUAAACAUUUACUCAGUUUUAGAUUGUGUGAUUCACUGUGGGGUACAAAAGUAAUUAAGAAGCAUUCCUGAUGUAGUGAGUAAAGUUAAGAAGAGAAGCUCGCUUUUUUUUUUUUUUCCCUAAACGGGUUUGCUAACAGAACACGGGGGUCAUGAAAACCACCCCUAAAAGCCAAAAUGGGAAAGGAAAAGACUCAUAUCAACAUUGUCGUCAUUGGACAUGUAGAUUCGGGCAAGUCCACCAUUACUGGUCACCUAAUCUACAAAUGCAGUGGCAUCGACAAAAGAUCCAUUGAAAAAAUGGAGAAGGAGGCUGCUGAGAUGGAAAAGGGCUUCUUCAAGUAUGCCUGGGUGUUGGAUGAACUGAAAGCUGAGCAUGAACAUGGCAUCCCCAUUGAUAGCUCCUUGUGGAAAUUUGAGACCAGCAAGUACUACAUGACUAUCAUUGAUGCCCAGGACACAGAGACUUCAUCACAAACGUGACUCCAGGGACAUCUCAUGCUGACUGCGCUGUCUUGAUUGUUGCUGCUGGUGUUGGUGAAUUUGAAGCUGGUAUCUCCAAGAAUGGACAGACCCGAGAACACACCCUUCUGGCCUACACACUGGGUGUGAAACAACUAAUCGUUGGUGUUAACAAAACGGAUUCCACUUAGCCACCCUACAGCCAGAAGAGACAUGAGAAAAUCAUUAAGGAAAUCAGCACUUACAUUAAGAAAAUUGGCUACAACCUCGACACAGUAGCAUUUGUGUCAAUUUCUGGUUGGAAUGGUGACAACAUGCUGGAGCCAAGUGCUAACAUGCCUUGGUUCAAGGGAUGGAAGUCGCCCAUAAGGGUGGCAAUGCCAGUGGAAUCACGCUGCUUAAGGCCGUGGACUGCAUCCUACCACCAGCUCAUCCAACUGACAAGCCCUUGUGCCUGCCUCUCCAGGAUGUCUAUAAAAAUUGGUGGUAUCGGUACUGUUCCUGUUGGCCAAGUGGAGACUGGCGUUCUCAAACCUGGUAUGGUGGUCACCUUUGCUCCAGUCAACGUUACAACUGAAGUGAAAUCUGUUGAAAUGCACCAUGAAGCUUCGAGUGAAGCUCUUCUGGGGACAAUGUGGGCUUCAAUGUCAAGAAUGUGUCUGUCAAGGAUGUUUGUUGUUGCAACGUUGCUGGUGACAGCAAGAAUGACCCAUCAAUGGAAGCGGCUGCUGUCACUGCCCAGGUGAUUGUCCUGAACUAUCCAGGCCAAAUCAGGGCUGGCUAUGCCCCCGUACUGCAUUGCCACACCGCUCACAUUGCAUGCAAGUUUGCUGAGCUGAAGGAAAAGAUUGACCACCGUUCUGGUAAAAGGCUGGAAGAUGGCCCUAAAUUCUUGAAGUCUGGUGAUGCUGCCAUCGUUGAUAUGGUUCCUGGCUAGCCCAUGUGUGUUGAGGGCUUCUCACACUAUCCACCUCUCAGUCGCUUUGCUGUUCGUGAUAUGAGACAGACGGUCGCCGUGGGUGUCAUGAAAGCAGUGGACAAGAAGGCCGCUGGAGCUGGCAAAGUCACCCAGUCUGCCCAGAAAGCUCAGAAGGCUAAAUGAACAUUAUCUAUAAUACCUGCCACCUCAGUCUUAAUCAGUGGUGGAGGAAGAAUCAUCUCAGAACUGUUUGUUUCAAUUGGCCAUUUAAGUUUAGUAGUAAAAGACUGGUUAAUGAUAACAAUGCAUUGUAAAACCUUGAGAAGGAAAGGAAAAUGUUUUGUGGACCACUUUGGUUUUCUAUUUUGCGUGUGGCAGUUUUAACUUACUAGUUUUUAAAAUCAGUCCUUUUUAAUGGAAACAACUUGAUCAAAAAUUUGUCAGGGAAUUUUGAGACCCAUUAAAAAAGUUUAAUGAGAAAAAAAAAAAA